rnacentral:rRNA from 1 species
ACAACUUUAGGCGGUGGAUCACUCGGCUCGUGCGUCGAUGAAGAACGCAGCCAGCUGCGUGAACUAAUGUGAAUUGCAGGACACAUUGAACAUCGACACUUUGAACGCAUAUUGCGGCCAAGGGUUCCGUCCUUUGGCCACGCCCGUCUGAGGGUCGGCU